rnacentral:rRNA from 1 species
UACGGAGGAUGCGAGCGUUGUCCGGAUUUAUUGGGUUUAAAGGGUGCGUAGGCGGAUCGUUAAGUCAGUGGUCAAAUUGAGGGGCUCAACCCCUUCCCGCCAUUGAAACUGGCGAUCUUGAGUGGAAGAGAAGUAUGCGGAAUGCGUGGUGUAGCGGUGAAAUGCAUAGAUACCACGCAGAACCCCGAUUGCGAAGGCAGCAUGCCGGCUACCUACUGACGCUGAAGCACGAAAGCGUGGGGAUCGAACAGG